AGCUUUGGGGCAGAUACCUACCUACCUACCUACCUUCCUUCCUUCCUUCCUUCCUUCCUUCCUUCCUUCCUUCCUUCCUUCCUUCCUUCCUUCCUUCCUUCCUAUGGAGAUAUUGUUACAGGGAGGCCUAUGGGAUCCUGCCUAACUAGUUUUGGAGGCAAAUGCUAUGUGGGGGCUUGUAGGAGGCAGCGCUGUGCUUGCUGGAGUUAAGCUCUAACCUGAGUUGGGUUUGCAUCCAGCUGCUGGUUGGUCCAGGGAGGUCUCCAGCUGCUGCUUGGAAACCAACAAAAACAGUAGUGAGUUCCAGAAACGUUGGAGUAAGGUGGUGACUUGGUGAUAAAAAGUCUUUCUGGAGGAAAGGGAAAACACUCCCAUUUUAUUAUCUGUGAAAUCUGGUGGCCAAUGAAACCACUUCCCACUGACUUGGGUGGGGAAGGCAGAUACUUAGAUUCACGUUCCCAAAGGAGAACAUUAUGCAAUGGAAGAUGUAGCUUCGCAGUAUAUCCCACUCUGUCAGGACUCUGUGCUGCACAUAAACUCUGAUGUGAAAGGCAUUCUUCCUCCCUGGGAUUGUGCAGUUCCCAGGCUGGGCAGCUGUAUACUCUAGCCCUGGAUAGGUUGAUUUGUUUGCUAGCAGGUAUACAGAGAUAAUGCAUUUUAUAUGCAGCGUUAGUGUCUUUUAAAAAGAGAAAGCUGAAAAAGCCUGAAGACAUAAAAAACAAUCUAUUCACUCCUGCACCUCUCCCUUCUGCAGACACAGAACUUCCCUGGCAGCUCUGAUCUGGGGGCUUCCUGUAGGUGCGAAGACCUGGUUCUUCAGACUCCAUCCAUGGAAGGAGGGAACACCAGUCACGGGGAGGUGGGCUCUGCACUGGGUUCCAGACACAGCAAAACAGGGCCUGGCAUAGAUGCCUUGUUUGAGGUGUAGUGUGAAUCCAUUAGCACUGAACUCAGGACCAGCAACGGUGUGACUCAGGCCUGAAGGAAGCUUUUCUAGCACAUGGAUUUCCUCUUGCCUGUUCUAACACGUGCCAUUUGGGAUCCCUUGGAAUCUUCAUGUACAGAACUGGUUGCUGCCUCAUUGAGUUGGUGGGGACAGAAUAGCUCCUGGUUGACAGCAUGGGUUGUGCAGAAGGACGGAUCCUGCAGACAUCAAUAUCUGGCUUUGAGUGGCACAAAGAAAUAAAGGAAUGUGGAUUCAGACCUCACUGGGAUGCUUGGCAAUUCUAAUUCUACCCCAGACUGCAAAUGGACACACAACUGUUGUGACUUUUGUUGAAGAGAAGGAUGGUGAAGGUCUCUUUAGUCAAUAAUCUCUUUGCUGAAAUUGCUUCGGGCAGCACAGAAGCUGGAUUCAGAAGCACACAGGUCUGGGGAUGCAGGCUUCGGCCAGCCUGAUGCAAGGAAAGACUGCCAUCUCGUGGUCAGCUCAAUCCUGGCACCUUGGUGAGGGUCCAGGCUGCAGAAAACCAGGCUUGGGGAGGAAAUGGUGCUGCAAACUGGAUUUCUGCCGGACAGUGUGGAUGCCCUUAGAAAACACCCAGAAAAGAGCUGAGUGCCCCCCAAGGUAGGCUUCAGUGAAUCCUCUGCAGGUGUGUUGUCAUCCCUUGAGCCAAACACAAGCUUCACACACACGCUGCAGGCUGCGUGAAAAUGAGGUAGAAAUGUGGGGAAAGCAUAAUCCCAUGGAGAGAACAAAGAGCUGAACACGUAAAUGCCUCCGGCGUGCCUGGCAGAGAGAACACUCAGGCUGAGAGAAGGGACAGUGACUUGUACCAAAGACUUGCCCUGAAUUCUUUCCUGUGCAAUAUCCUAAAACCCUCUCUUGGGGCCUGGAUCAGGACCCCUUUCCUAUAACAUCUUUCUG